GGCGCGGUGGUCUAGUGGUUAGCGCGCUUGCCCCGCAUGACCAGGGCUCAGGGUUCGAUUCCCAUCUCAGCCC